CAAUAGCGUAUAUUAAAGUUGUUGCAGUUAAAAAGCUCGUAGUAGGAUUUCUGAUCGAGACAUCAGGUCGGGUCCGAGAGGAUCAUGUACUUUGAUUUUGUUUUGAUCAUCCUUGGGGAGAGCAUUUCUGGCAUUCAGUUGUCGGGAUUGGGAUCCUCAUCGUUUACUGUGAAAAAAUUAGAGUGUUCAAAGCAGGCCUCGGCCUCUGAAUACACUAGCAUGGAAUAAUAAGAUAGGACUUUGGUGGUCUAUUUUGUUGGUUUGCACGCCAAAGUAAUGAUUAAUAGGGAUAGUUGGGGGUAUUCGUAUUCAAUUGUCAGAGGUGAAAUUCUUGGAUUUAUGGAAGACGAACUACUGCGAAAGCAUUUACCAAGGAUGUUUUCAUUAA
rnacentral:rRNA from 1 species